rnacentral:rRNA from 1 species
ACGAACGCUGGCGGCGCGCCUAACACAUGCAAGUCGAACGAGAGAAGAAGAGCUUGCUUUUCUGAUCGAGUGGCGAACGGGUGAGUAACGCGUGAGGAACCUGCCUCAAAGAGGGGGACAACAGUUGGAAACGACUGCUAAUACCGCAUAAGCCCACGGCUCGGCAUCGAGCAGAGGGAAAAGGAGCAAUCCGCUUUGAGAUGGCCUCGCGUCCGAUUAGCUAGUUGGUGAGGUAAUGGCCCACCAAGGCGACGAUCGGUAGCCGGACUGAGAGGUUGAACGGCCACAUUGGGACUGAGACACGGCCCAGACUCCUACGGGAGGCAGCAGUGGGGAAUAUUGCACAAUGGGGGAAACCCUGAUGCAGCGACGCCGCGUGGAGGAAGAAGGUCUUCGGAUUGUAAACUCCUGUUGUUGAGGAAGAUAAUGACGGUACUCAACAAGGAAGUGACGGCUAACUACGUGCCAGCAGCCGCGGUAAAACGUAGGUCACAAGCGUUGUCCGGAAUUACUGGGUGUAAAGGGAGCGCAGGCGGGCGAUCAAGUUGGAAGUGAAAUCCAUGGGCUCAACCCAUGAACUGCUUUCAAAACUGAUUGUCUUGAGUAGUGCAGAGGUAGGCGGAAUUCCCGGUGUAGCGGUGGAAUGCGUAGAUAUCGGGAGGAACACCAGUGGCGAAGGCGGCUCUCUGGUCUGUAACUGACGCUGAGGCUCGAAAGCGUGGGGAGCAAACAGGAUUAGAUACCCUGGUAGUCCACGCCGUAAACGAUGAGUGCUAAGUGUUAGAGGGUUUCCGCCCUUUAGUGCUGCAGCUAACGCAUUAAGCACUCCGCCUGGGGAGUACGACCGCAAGGUUGAAACUCAAAGGAAUUGACGGGGGCCCGCACAAGCAGUGGAGUAUGUGGUUUAAUUCGACGCAACGCGAAGAACCUUACCAAGUCUUGACAUCCUGCGACGAUGCUAGAAAUAGUAUUUUCCUUCGGGACGCAGAGACAGGUGGUGCAUGGUUGUCGUCAGCUCGUGUCGUGAGAUGUUGGGUUAAGUCCCGCAACGAGCGCAACCCUUAUGGUCAGUUACUACGCAAGAGGACUCUGGCCAGACUGCCGUUGACAAAACGGAGGAAGGUGGGGAUGACGUCAAAUCAUCAUGCCCUUUAUGACUUGGGCUACACACGUACUACAAUGGCGUUAAACAAAGAGAAGCAAGACCGCGAGGUGGAGCAAAACUCAGAAACAACGUCCCAGUUCGGACUGCAGGCUGCAACUCGCCUGCAUGAAGCCGGAAUCGCUAGUAAUCGCGGAUCAGCACGCCGCGGUGAAUACGUUCCCGGGCCUUGUACACACCGCCCGUCACACCACGAGAGUUUGUAACACCCGAAGUCGGUGAGGUAACCUUUUAGGAGCCAGCCGCCGAAGGUGGGACAGAUGAUUGGGGUG